rnacentral:rRNA from 1 species
GCCAUGCAUGCUCUAAGUACAUACCUACCUAAGGUGAAACCGCGAAUGGCUCAUUAAAUCAGUUACGGUUCCUUAGAUGUUAACAAUCUACAUGGAUAACUGUGGUAAUUCUAGAGCUAAUACGUGCACAAAAGAUUCGACCCUACGGGAAGAAUCGCAUUUAUUAGACCAAGACCAAUGGGGUCCUUCGGGAUUCCUUUGAAUGGUGACUCUGAAUAACUGAGCUAAUCGCAUGGCCUCAGCGCCGGCGAUGAAUCUUUCAAGUGUCUGCCUUAUCAACUUUCGAUGGUAGGUUAUGCGCCUACCAUGGUUGUAACGGGUAACGGGGAAUCAGGGUUCGAUUCCGGAGAGGGAGCCUGAGAAACGGCUACCACAUCCAAGGAAGGCAGCAGGCACGCAAAUUACCCACUCCCAGAACGGGGAGGUAGUGACGAAAAAUAACAAUACGGGACUCUAAUGAGGCCCCGUAAUUGGAAUGAGUACAGAAUAAAUCCUUUAACGAGGAUCUAUUGGAGGGCAAGUCUGGUGCCAGCAGCCGCGGUAAUUCCAGCUCCAAUAGCGUAUAUUAAAGUUGUUGCGGUUAAAAAGCUCGUAGUUGGAUCUCAGUCCAUGCUAUGUGGUCCACUUGUUGUGGUUACUACUUAGCUGGACAUUUUACAGACCUGUCUUCUGAUGCUCUUCACCGGGUGUCAGUAGCGAUCUGUACGUUUACUUUGAAAAAAUUAGAGUGCUUAAAGCAGGCGUAACGCCCGAAUAAUCUUGCAUGGAAUAAUGGAAUAGGACCUCGGUUCUAUUUUAUUGGUCUUCGGAAUCUGAGGUAAUGAUUAAGAGGGACAGACGGGGGCAUUCGUAUUGCGGCGCUAGAGGUGAAAUUCUUGGACCGUCGCAAGACGAACUACAGCGAAAGCAUUUGCCAAGAAUGUUUUCAUUAAUCAAGAACGAAAGUUAGAGGUUCGAAGGCGAUCAGAUACCGCCCUAGUUCUAACCAUAAACGAUGCCAACCAGCGAUCAGCCUGAGUUCUUUAAAUGACUCGGCUGGCAGCUUCCGGGAAACCAAAGUUUUUCGGUUCCGGGGGAAGUAUGGUUGCAAAGCUGAAACUUAAAGGAAUUGACGGAAGGGCACCACCAGGAGUGGAGCCUGCGGCUUAAUUUGACUCAACACGGGAAAACUUACCCGGCCCGGACACUGGGAGGAUUGACAGAUUGAGAGCUCUUUCUUUGAUUCAGUGGGUGGUGGUGCAUGGCCGUUCUUAGUUGGUGGAGCGAUUUGUCUGGUUAAUUCCGAUAACGAACGAGACUCUAGCCUACUAAAUAGACCGUUGACUCAUUUUGCGUUAACGGGACUUCUUAGAGGGACAGGCGGCGAUUCAGCCGCACGAAACAGAGCAAUAACAGGUCUGUGAUGCCCUUAGAUGUCCGGGGCCGCACGCGCGCUACACUGAAGUAAGCAGCGUGCAUAGGUAACCCGCUCUGACAAGAGUGGGUAACCCAAUGAACCUUCUUCGUGAUAGGGACUGGGCAUUGUAAUUAUUGCCCAUGAACGAGGAAUUCCCAGUAAGCGUGAGUCAUAAGCUCGCGUUGAUUACGUCCCUGCCCUUUGUACACACCGCCCGUCGCUACUACCGAUUGAAUGAUUUAGUGAGGACUUCGGACUAGUCGGUGCAGCUGCCUUUCGGUGGCCGCGCUGUGCCGGAAAGAUGUCCAAAC